CAUCCCCAACUGGAAAUUGAGCCUACAACCUGGGCAUGUGUCCUGACCCGAAAUGGAAUCGUGACCUGUUUUAUAGGUUCAAUCUCACCCCUGAGCCACAGCGUAUAUCUCAUUACAUGUUCUGGUUGAUGAAGCUAUUUCACCUGGUCCACCUAUAUGGCUUUCACAGAUUGCAUAGGUCACCAUCCUCAUGUGCUCAAGAAAGCAAACUCUGUUCUCUGGUUUGAGAAAAUUGGGAGCAGCCUGAGCUUGUACAAGGUCUUAUUUCCUUUCACUCUAUUUGCCAUAUGCAUCUGACUUGUGGUCCCCAGAAAACUUCACCUGAGUUCAGCGAGCAGCUUAUAGAACUGCCUUUCCCAGGGACAGGGUUUUUCUAGGUAACAGUGACAGAUUUUUGAGUGACUAAGUCACGGAUGCAAGAACUGCCAAGCUCUUGUCCCUUUCAUUUGUAAAAUAUUGAAAGACUUUCUAAGUCUUCUUUAACUUAGGUGUUCUAUUUACUGUCUGUGGGAGUUUAUAAGCAGAUUUGGGUUCUACAGGCAUCAGGAGGUGAACAAUUUAAUGGGUAUCUCAAACUUUCUCUGCCUAUGGGAAGAAUACAGGGUGCAGAAAUUAGCUCAGCAGUUUAGGCUAGAUUUCAGCCCUCAUAUCAAGCCUAAUGCUGUGAGUUUUAGGAAAGUUUCAGGAGAUCACUCCAAAGAGUGGCUAGCUGUGCCAACCUCAGAUCCUUCCGGAAGGAACAUGAAUUAUUUUCUGUUUUUGUGGGGGAGAGCUCUUGUCCAGGUCUUACAAAGGGUUCUUCGCCCUAAUGCCUAUAAUUCCAUGGGUGAUUAUCACUGGUUGGAGGACCACAGGGAUGAGGGGAGCCAUGAUUGCUACAGAACCACUGGCCUACAUGGUGUUGGAAGAGAUUGCUGCCAUCGAGAUGGAAUGAGCUUAUAAAUGUGCAUUCAGAACUGUUCUGAGGAAAACACUGCAGGGUGGCAUGUACACAGAUCUGAGAAUCUCCACGCAUGUUUACGAGUAUUUUCUGUGGCCUCUGAGAAUUUCACUUCAGAGCCAUUGGUGCCUUGGCACAAAAAGAAUGAUAAA